UACGAAGGGGGCUAGCGUUGUUCGGAAUUACUGGGCGUAAAGCGCGCGCAGGCGGUCUUCCAAGUCAGUGGUGAAAGCCCGGAGCUCAACUCCGGAACUGCCAUUGAAACUGUUGGACUUGAGUACGAGAGAGGUGAGUGGAAUUCCCAGUGUAGAGGUGAAAUUCGUAGAUAUUGGGAAGAACACCGGUGGCGAAGGCGGCUCACUGGCUCGUAACUGACGCUCAGGCGCGACAGCGUGGGGAUCAAACAGGC
rnacentral:rRNA from 1 species